GGUUAAGCGACUAAGCGUACACGGUGGAUGCCCUGGCAGUCAGAGGCGAUGAAGGGCGUGCUAAUCUGCGAUAAGCGCCGGUAAGGUGAUAUGAACCGUUAUAACCGGCGAUACCCGAAUGGGGAAACCCAGUGUGAUUCGUCACACUAUCAUUAACUGAAUCCAUAGGUUAAUGAGGCGAACCGGGGGAACUGAAACAUCUAAGUACCCCGAGGAAAAGAAAUCAACCGAGAUUCCCCCAGUAGCGGCGAGCGAACGGGGAGGAGCCCAGAGCCUGAAUCAGCAUGUGUGUUAGUGGAAGCGUCUGGAAAGGUGCGCGAUACAGGGUGACAGCCCCGUACACAAAAGCGCAUGUGCUGUGAGCUCGAUGAGUAGGGCGGGACACGUGGUAUCCUGUCUGAAUAUGGGGGGACCAUCCUCCAAGGCUAAAUACUCCUGACUGACCGAUAGUGAACCAGUACCGUGAGGGAAAGGCGAAAAGAACCCCGGCGAGGGGAGUGAAAAAGAACCUGAAACCGUGUACGUACAAGCAGUGGGAGCACAGGUUUACCUGUGUGACUGCGUACCUUUUGUAUAAUGGGUCAGCGACUUAUAUUCUGUAGCAAGGUUAACCGUAUAGGGGAGCCGGAGGGAAACCGAGUCUUAACCGGGCGUUAAGUUGCAGGGUAUAGACCCGAAACCCGGUGAUCUAGCCAUGGGCAGGUUGAAGGUUGGGUAACACUAACUGGAGGACCGAACCGACUAAUGUUGAAAAAUUAGCGGAUGACCUGUGGCUGGGGGUGAAAGGCCAAUCAAACCGGGAGAUAGCUGGUUCUCCCCGAAAGCUAUUUAGGUAGCGCCUCGUGAAUUCAUCUCCGGGGGUAGAGCACUGUUUCGGCUAGGGGGCCAUCCCGGCUUACCAACCCGAUGCAAACUGCGAAUACCGGAGAAUGUUAUCACGGGAGACACACGGCGGGUGCUAACGUCCGUCGUGAAGAGGGAAACAACCCAGACCGCCAGCUAAGGUCCCAAAGUCAUGGUUAAGUGGGAAACGAUGUGGGAAGGCCCAGACAGCCAGGAUGUUGGCUUAGAAGCAGCCAUCAUUUAAAGAAAGCGUAAUAGCUCACUGGUCGAGUCGGCCUGCGCGGAAGAUGUAACGGGGCUAAACCAUGCACCGAAGCUGCGGCAGCGAACGUAUCACCCAAGACAACUUUACGGAGUUGACGAUUGACGGAGCGAAGCGACGUCAAAGCGUUCAUUAAAGUCGAGUUGGCUUAGGGAUACGUUCGUUGGGUAGGGGAGCGUUCUGUAAGCCUGUGAAGGUGUGUCGUGAGGCAUGCUGGAGGUAUCAGAAGUGCGAAUGCUGACAUAAGUAACGAUAAAGCGGGUGAAAAGCCCGCUCGCCGGAAGACCAAGGGUUCCUGUCCAACGUUAAUCGGGGCAGGGUGAGUCGACCCCUAAGGCGAGGCCGAAAGGCGUAGUCGAUGGGAAACGGGUUAAUAUUCCCGUACUUGGUGUUACUGCGAAGGGGGGACGGAGAAGGCUAUGUUGGCCGGGCGACGGUUGUCCCGGUUUAAGCGUGUAGGUGUGUGUUCCAGGUAAAUCCGGUUCACUUUAACACUGAGGCGUGACGACGAGGCACUACGGUGCUGAAGCAACAAAUGCCCUGCUUCCAGGAAAAGCCUCUAAGCAUCAGGUAACACGAAAUCGUACCCCAAACCGACACAGGUGGUCAGGUAGAGAAUACCAAGGCGCUUGAGAGAACUCGGGUGAAGGAACUAGGCAAAAUGGUGCCGUAACUUCGGGAGAAGGCACGCUGACACGUAGGUGAAGUGAUUUACUCAUGGAGCUGAAGUCAGUCGAAGAUACCAGCUGGCUGCAACUGUUUAUUAAAAACACAGCACUGUGCAAACACGAAAGUGGACGUAUACGGUGUGACGCCUGCCCGGUGCCGGAAGGUUAAUUGAUGGGGUCAGCGUAAGCGAAGCUCCUGAUCGAAGCCCCGGUAAACGGCGGCCGUAACUAUAACGGUCCUAAGGUAGCGAAAUUCCUUGUCGGGUAAGUUCCGACCUGCACGAAUGGCGUAAUGAUGGCCAGGCUGUCUCCACCCGAGACUCAGUGAAAUUGAACUCGCUGUGAAGAUGCAGUGUACCCGCGGCAAGACGGAAAGACCCCGUGAACCUUUACUAUAGCUUGACACUGAACAUUGAGCCUUGAUGUGUAGGAUAGGUGGGAGGCUUUGAAGUGUGGACGCCAGUCUGCAUGGAGCCGACCUUGAAAUACCACCCUUUAAUGUUUGAUGUUCUAACGUGGACCCGUAAUCCGGGUUGCGGACAGUGUCUGGUGGGUAGUUUGACUGGGGCGGUCUCCUCCUAAAGAGUAACGGAGGAGCACGAAGGUUGGCUAAUCCUGGUCGGACAUCAGGAGGUUAGUGCAAUGGCAUAAGCCAGCUUGACUGCGAGCGUGACGGCGCGAGCAGGUGCGAAAGCAGGUCAUAGUGAUCCGGUGGUUCUGAAUGGAAGGGCCAUCGCUCAACGGAUAAAAGGUACUCCGGGGAUAACAGGCUGAUACCGCCCAAGAGUUCAUAUCGACGGCGGUGUUUGGCACCUCGAUGUCGGCUCAUCACAUCCUGGGGCUGAAGUAGGUCCCAAGGGUAUGGCUGUUCGCCAUUUAAAGUGGUACGCGAGCUGGGUUUAGAACGUCGUGAGACAGUUCGGUCCCUAUCUGCCGUGGGCGCUGGAGAACUGAGGGGGGCUGCUCCUAGUACGAGAGGACCGGAGUGGACGCAUCACUGGUGUUCGGGUUGUCAUGCCAAUGGCACUGCCCGGUAGCUAAAUGCGGAAGAGAUAAGUGCUGAAAGCAUCUAAGCACGAAACUUGCCCCGAGAUGAGUUCUCCCUGAGACUUAGAGUCUCCUGAAGGAACGUUGAAGACGACGACGUUGAUAGGCCGGGUGUGUAAGCGCAGCGAUGCGUUGAGCUAACCGGUACUAAUGAACCGUGAGGCUUAACCUUAC
rnacentral:rRNA from 1 species